AUUAAACCUGUAGCCAGUGCACUAACAGGUCAAGGAGUGGCAGCACUGCACACCUGGGCCUUGAAUUAUUCCCUUUGGCUGAGCUGAAAGAAGAGUGUGAGAGAGUCGGCCCUUGAUUUUUCUGGGCAAAUGAUUCCUGGGACAAUCUAAUAUCAAAUUAAUAAAUGAGGAAUUUAAGCGUUGACAGAAGGGGUGGGUGCUGAGAACUGGCUGAAGAUAUUUGGCUAUGUGGAUGUUGU